UACGUAGGGCGCAAGCGUUGUCCGGAAUUAUUGGGCGUAAAGAGCUCGUAGGCGGCUUGUCACGUCGGGUGUGAAAGCCCGGGGCUUAACCCCGGGUCUGCAUUCGAUACGGGCUAGCUAGAGUGUGGUAGGGGAGAUCGGAAUUCCUGGUGUAGCGGUGGAAUGCGCAGAUAUCAGGAGGAACACCGGUGGCGAAGGCGGAUCUCUGGGCCAUUACUGACGCUGAGGAGCGAAAGCGUGGGGAGCGAACAGG
rnacentral:rRNA from 1 species